AGCAGCCGCGGUAAUUCCAGCUCCAAUAGCGUAUAUUAAAGUUGUUGCAGUUAAAAAGCUCGUAGUUGAAUUUCGGGGUUAGUAGGUUGGUCAUGCCUCUGGUAUGUACUGGUCUCACUGAUUCCUCCUUCCUGAUGAGCCGUAAUGCCAUUAAUUUGGUGUUGCGGGGAAUUUGGACUGUUACUUUGAAAAAUUAGAGUGUUUAAAGCAAGCUAACGCUUGAAUACAUUAGCAUGGAAUAAUGAAAUAGGACGUUCGAUCCUAUUUUGUUGGUUUCUAGGAUUGACGUAAUGAUUAAUAGGGAUAGUUGGGGGCAUUAGUAUUCAAUUGUCAGAGGUGAAAUUCUUGGAUUUAUUGAAGACUAACUACUGCGAAAGCAUUUGCCAAGGAUGUUUUCAUUAAUCAAGAACGAAAGUUAGGGGAUCGAAGACGAUCAGAUACCGUCGUAGUCUUAACCAUAAACUAUGCCGACUAGGGAUCGGAUGAUGUUAAUUUUUAAUGA
rnacentral:rRNA from 1 species